rnacentral:ncRNA from 1 species
UCAAAUGCGAUGAAGAGAAGAGUAAAUAAAUGAAUUCUUUCACAGAGAGCUCCGGUUUGCUGAAAAGGAGUGAAGAGUACUUUAUUGAAAAAAGCCUCAGAGCAGCUCAUCGGAUCCUUUUGAAAAGAGUGAUGGUGUGUCAGGAGCUCCUGUUACAGAGCUAAAGUAUACGCAUUACAUGGUAAUGCCGUACUUGAAGAGGCUGAUAUGGCGACAUAUUAGCGAAUUUGGGGUGGUACCACGAGUAUAUACAAUCUCGUCCCUAAG